rnacentral:rRNA from 1 species
AGUGCGUAAUAGCUCACUAGUCGAGUGACACUGCGCCGAAAAUGUACCGGGGCUAAACAUAUUACCGAAGCUGUGGAUUGUCCUUUGGACAAUGGUAGGAGAGCGUUCUAAGGGCGUUGAAGCAUGAUCGUAAGGACAUGUGGAGAGCUUAGAAGUGAGAAUGCCGGUGUGAGUAGCGAAAGACGGGUGAGAAUCCCGUCCACCGAUUGACUAAGGUUUCCAGAGGAAGGCUCGUCCGCUCUGGGUUAGUCGGGUCCUAAGCUGAGGCCGACAGGCGUAGGCGAUGGAUAACAGGUUGAUAUUCCUGUACCACCUAUAAUCGUUUUAAUCGAUGGGGGGGACGCAGUAGGAUAGGCGAAGCGUGCGAUUGGAUUGCACGUCUAAGCAGUAAGGCUGAGUAUUAGGCAAAUCCGGUACUCAUUAAGGCUGAGCUGUGAUGGGGAGAAGACAUUGUGUCUUCGAGUCGUUGAUUUCACACUGCCGAGAAAAGCCUCUAGAUAGAAAAUAGGUGCCCGUACCGCAAACCGACACAGGUAGUCAAGAUGAGAAUUCUAAGGUGAGCGAGCGA